rnacentral:rRNA from 1 species
CUAAGAAUAUUCCACAAUGGACGAAAGUCUGAUGGAGCGACGCCGCGUGGAUGAUGAAGGCCGAAAGGUUGUAAAAUCCUUUUGCGGAUGAAGAAUAAGCGGUGGAGGGAAUGCCAUCGUGAUGACGUUAGUCCGUGAAUAAGCCCCGGCUAAUUACGUGCCAGCAGCCGCGGUAACACGUAAGGGGCAAGCGUUGUUCGGAAUUAUUGGGCGUAAAGGGCGCGUAGGCGGCCGCGUAAGUCUGAUGUGAAAACCCCGGGCUCAACCCGGGAACUGCAUUGGAAACUGCGCGGCUUGAGUCACGGAGGGGGAAUCGGAAUUCCUGGUGUAGGGGUGAAAUCUGUAGAUAUCAGGAAGAACACCGGUGGCGAAGGCGGAUUUCCAGCCGAUGACUGACGCUGAGGCGCGAAAGUGCGGGGAGCAAACAGGAUUAGAUACCCUGGUAGUCCGCACUAUAAACGAUGCACACUAGGUGUCGGG